rnacentral:misc_RNA from 1 species
AUUUCAGUUAAAAUCAAAUUCCGAGAGCAAGAAUAUACUUGUCAACUCGUAUAGUAUUUUUAUACCAAUAAUGCUCUGUUCGUCGAGAACUUUCAGUAUUGAUAUUGACUGUACUGCCGCAGAUUUUGAAUUUCAAAUCAUACUCACAUCACGUCAAGAAAAUGAAAUAUUUCGUCAUCUCUCACUAGCUAUUGAUUUGAUAGAGGCUUGAACGCAGUGCUAAGUCUAAAAAUCAGCAUAAAAGUGACGCAACCAAUGAGAGCUCUCAUGAAACUAUUACCAAGUCGCUAAAAAUGACAGCUCAUUUUUUUUAUGUCGUAAAAUGUGGAUAUUAUUUGAGUAUAUUUUAAUUACCUUCAAUUCUCUUUUCGCACUAGCGGGGCCGAAUUUUGCAAAAAAAAUUUGAAAACACCUGUGCUUAUGAUUUAUUUCAACAAUUUUGCACGUACAUAGAGAAAUAUUUGGAAUGAUUUGAUUGUGACAGCAAUUGUGAAUAGCGUGGUAGAUGCAAUGAAGCACUUAGAAAGAAGCAAGACAUCUCCAAAGCCCCAACAAUCUUAUUUAUUUCUAAGUACAGCCGGUGAUGGUAAAGGUUCACCAAUACAUAGCAAAUCACGUUGCUUGGAAAAAGAACUGGAAGCACGGCUCACACACUCUGUUCCACCGAUAAAACGGAUCAAGAUAUUGCCAUAUCGCAUAUAAAGAUCCAUUACAUUGACCAGGAGUGCGUUACAUUUGAUAUCAACAUAGACUACAAAAGCUGCGAAGAGGUUCCUUUUACUACUAUGAACAAUAAUGAAAAAAACUCGCAUACUAAUAACGAUACAACGAAUGCUAGAGCUUGCAGCAUUGCUAUACCUAAAGAACAAUCAAUUUGCCAUUCUUUACGCCUCCAAGAAAAUCCACAUUUUUUAAUUACUGCUAAAGGGUCGCAACUGGGUUAUGGAACACAUGAUAAAACUAAUACCGACGUGUCAACUGCAAUAACAACACCUUUACCUGAAAAUUUGAUAGAAAAAUCUCCUCAUGUUAACGAAAAUCUGAUAAAGGAUCAAACCUACAAACAUUGGCCAGAGAAGUUCAACAAAGUCGUGCCUAGAUCUGUUGAAAAACCAAGAGGUAGAGUUUGUGAUAAGCAGGAGGGAAAAAAUUCUAAGAUAUUAAUUUCAAACGACAAAUCAGAGGUGAUAACUACAUGCAAAAGACAAUCCAGAUCAACAGGUAAUAGAGAAAUUCUCAAAAAUAAAUCAAAUGAUUGUCAAAAAACUUCAUGCAGAAUAAGCGGAGAAACGAAGUCACCUAAAGUAAAGGAAGUGUCUUGUAAUACUGUUCUGUCCUCAGUUCCGCGUAUCAUUCCACAGCAAGCACCUAGACACAAGGGUCAGAAGGGAAAAGAGGGAAUAUUAGCUCAUUGCACUGAGAAAGUUGUGAAAAAAGUUAAAAAGAAGCAAGAUGUGCAUUUCUCGAAAAAAACUUCAGCAAAAGCCGACAUGCAGGAAAAGAUCGAAUUAGAUAAACAACGAAUUAAGAAAAAUAUAGAAAAUUUAAAAAAGAGUUACGAGGCUAAGAAAAAAUAUCGUCAAAAAAUUGUUGAAAUCAAAAAUUUACAAACAAAUAAUGCUCGUGACAACAAUGACUGUAUCAAUGCAAAGAAUGAGAACAAUGGAGCAGCUCGAACAAGAAUUUUCAAUCUUAAGAAGUCUAUACAAAUGGAUAAAAACUUUUCCACUUCCAAGAUUGAAUCUAAUGAUGUUAAUUCUGCACCUGAAACACAGCACAAGAAUGAGCCAAAAAGUAAAGCAAGUGACCCGACCAACUUGAAUUGUACAAAAUGUUGUAUUGAUUCCACUCGUAAUACUAUCCAGUCGAGCAAGGACGUAAAAAUAUGUUGCAAGAAAGAUGUCUCAAAAACAGCAGAGAUUGAAUCGAUAGCGAAUUUGAUAGAACCAUCGAACUGUGAUUGUAACAGACUGAAACAAUUGUUAGUUGCCAACAAAUUUUCGUCUAUUUCUGAAGAUAAAAUCAUGUAUAAUGCCAAUUCAAUAAAUUAUGGAUGCUAUUCUGAUCAACCAUAUCGUAAAGGACCCAACAAACAACAAGAUUACAGAAACUAUGCUAUUAAUGCAGAUAUAAAAUUGACCAAACUAGAAAAAGAUAAAAGCACUGUCAACGAUGAUGCAAAAUAUAAUCUUAUGAAAACCUUGAUACACCCAGCAUCUGAAAUUAAUGGUUCUCAAGGAUUGAAUAAUAAUACUAUCAAAUUUUCACUCUACAAACAUCAAUCGAAAGAUGGUCUAGCUAAUUGUAAGGAUGAAAAAACUCAAGACGUUUACAAAAACUCCGGAAGCAGCAACAGCACGGUGAAUGUUGAAACAGCAAGCUUAUCAAAUAUUGUAACACAGUUACCAGAUAACAUGAGUAAAAUGGAGAGCUAUGAGACUUUGAAUGCUGCUAAAAUCACAGCAUAUUUGAAACACCCGUCGUCAAGUAACACCUCAGACAAAAUAAUAUCGAAUUUGAAAACGAAUGGUUAUAAAUAUUCGAAAAAGUACAGACGUUUCAAUCAUAAAGAGAAAAAUAUGUGCUGCAAUAUGGCACGUUACAUUGAAAGAAUGGUGUCGAAUGAGAAAAAGUAUCAGAAACAUGAAAAGAAAAUUGAUCCACAGCGAGAAAACGUCAAAAUAAUCAUCGAUGAAAACAGCCCGAAAACCAGCCGAAUAAGAAUAGUGAACGAUAGAUCCAGUGUCAGUGUUGUUUGUCAUGGUUCGGAGAAAACAACAUCUCCAAGUAGAAGAAGUAACAAUACGGCAGCGAAAAAUACUGAAUCCAGCGGAGGAGAAAGCAGCGGCUAUAAAUCAUAUCACAACGAUUUGCACAAGAGACAUUUUGAUCACUCCGAUCAAGCCAAAAUCAACUCGACUGAGCAUCAACAAAUUGAACAUGUUACAGAAAGAAAAUUUCACAAUACGCAAACUAUUCUGUACCACAAUAUUAAUGAUGAUAGGUUUGAAAGUAUCUCCAGCCCCUUGGAUGAUCCUGUCAAUACGCAAUUCGUUGGAAUUAGAGAAAAUAUUAAAAGCCACCAGAAUUUAUGUGAAGAAAAACUCAAGAAGCGGGAUACCGAAACAAAAUACACUCUGUACGAUACAAAUAAAUAUUUGUCUGCAUUUACCAAUAGUCUGGACAUGUAUUUACCAUGUGAAAUUACUGCUUAUCAGAUGAAAGAAGUAAAUAGAAGUAAGGUUUUCCAAUUUAAUAAUCCAGAGCUUGAGGAGAAGGAUGUAGAUAAUGCUGAGAUGCGAAUUGGGAAAUAUUUAAUAGAGAAUAGUUCGGAUUCGAGAGAUGAGUUAUCAGAGGAAGAAGAAUCUAGUGAGCAAUUAAAUUCUGCGAGCGAUGCUAAAAUUGACAAGGAUAAAGUUAUAGUGCUGAAAAAGCCAAAUAAUGCAGUGCAGAGAAGUCUAGAAUAUGUUGUCAGUAAACGUUUCCUGGAUUUAAACAACACAGAAGGACAAGACAGUUUUAUACAUAUACCUACAGUACCGGCUCAGCAUAAAAUCAUUACGUCACUACAAGAUGUAAAGCAUGAAGAGAUUAGAGAAGCCUUUGAAACAUCGAGGAGCACAACAGAUCUAACAUCUGCCCUAGCGCACAACAAGGCUGCUGAACGAGUGAAAUCGAGCAUCAGUGAUAUUGAAACAGGCUCUGGCAAUCCAAAAUUGUAUCUAAUGGAUAAAAAAAUCGUUAUGGAAACGGACCCAGGAUAUAAGAGAAUUAAAUGUUCCAAACGACUAAAGAUCAAAAAUGAAAACUUGUAUGAUUCCAACAAAGUAUAUGAGUUGUGGGCAAAUAAUAAAUCGACUGCUAAUAGCACUGAUAAUGAAUCUCAGACAACCAGAAGGUUCAUUUGUGCACCAAGUGACUCGAAGAGAUGCCGUACAAACAAAUUUAAAUUCAAUAUAUUCAAAAAGAUCAAAUCUUGUAAGAGUGAAAAAACUACCCAUAUUCCUCUUGACCAGCUACCUAAACCACCCUCUUCGUUUUUGGAAAGCUCUGCGCCCUCGCAGUCUACAAUGUUGUCGUCAACAGCUGACACUGAUUAUUGGGAGUCAGAUACUGUUUUGAACCUUCACAAAGGUGCUACUUUGCUGCUUCAUACAAAUCCUGGUACAAAAACUUACACCGAUCCUACCCACAUAAAUCAUUCCAAAAGAAAUCACAUAACCGCUAGUCCUGAGGAAAAUCAUGAUCAUUUACAUCUUCAAUCGAACAAUCGUGCUUCAACUUCACAUAAAGAUACCGAGACUUAUCUGCAGUCAUCACCUGCACAUCCAAUAAAUGAAAAACAGCUUACUGCACCUCAUGUUCUGCAUACAGCUGCACCCCCGCCUCCUUCAGCUCUACCGCCACCUUAUCCCUUCUGUUGUCCAUUUGUUCCAUACAUGAUGCAGUACUGGCAAAAUUAUCAACAACCACCACCGGCUUCAAAGCUUCCACUACCUGACGGAGAUUGGCAACCGACUGUCAGAAAGAAUGGCAAUGAGCCACCACCUCCAGAUAUGGUUCCCAUUCCAUGGUUCCCACCAAUGUCAAAUGUACAUGAUCACCCACCACGUGCUGAAAUGAAUUUUACAACGUCAAAUAACAUACACGCUCAACCACCACCCGAGUGGCUAAUGAUGCCUAGAGGGUACGCACCCUGUUUUCCAUGCAGUAAUACUACUGAGUCUUAUUUGAGGAAAACUGAUUCCUCAGUUUGUAAGGAUGAUGAACCUCCUGUUGAAAUUAGCGAGAAUAAACAGGAUGAAAAAAAGAAAACAGUAUCUAGUAAAUUGUUCAAAAUAUUUCGGAGAAAAAAUCGUGCUGAAAUGGACACAUUGGAUGAUGAUGGCAAAAAAGGCAAAUAUCAUCGAUCUGGCUCGGAAGCUAAACUGGUUCGUAAAGUACAAGUGGUGGAAAAUGAAGAGAACAACACUAACGGUCAGAGCAUUUGGGAAUCUCCGGAUAUUGCUGGAAUCGUAACUCCAGAAGAAAUUGGACGAUGCUUUCGCAGAGGUUUUCGAGCAGAUGGAUUAACCCUGGCCGGGGACGAGUACGUGUGUACAAGAACACCAAGUGACACAACUUCGGAACAGGAAGAGAUAUUCAAUUUCUCUGACCAUGAUACGCCACUUGAUUUUCUAUUAGCUCUUGGAUUUAGCGUUGAUGAAGCUACUGCUGCAAUUAGGGAUGACGAAGUACGAAAUCGAUUUAAAGCAGCCCUUACGGAGCCUACCUGAAAAUUUUGGAAAAGGUUGAAGAGGGAUACGUGUCUUUUGUCACCCUAUUUGGAAAAGAUAAAGGCAAUGAAGAUGAUGAGGAUACUGCAAUGAUGGAAAAACAGCGCCGUCGUAUAUUCUACAC